rfam:Rattus norvegicus chromosome 4, whole genome shotgun sequence.
GGGGAUUUAGCUCAGCGGUAGAGCCCUUGCCUAGCAAGCACAAGGCCCUGGGUUCGGUCCCCAGCUCCG